rnacentral:tRNA from 1 species
GCAGUUCAGUGGUAGAGCAUCUGCUUUGCAUGCAGAAAGUCUUGGUUUAAUCCCCGGCAUCUCCA